rnacentral:rRNA from 1 species
UACGUAGGGUGCGAGCGUUAAUCGGAAUUACUGGGCGUAAAGCGUGCGCAGGCGGUUGCUGAAGUCCGUUGUGAAAGCCCGGGCUUAACCUGGGAAUGGCAGUGGAAACUAGGCGACUUGAAUCUGGCAGAGGGGGUGGAAUGCCACGUGUAGCAGUGAAAUGCGUAGAGAUGUGGCGGAACACCGAUGGCGAAGGCAGCCCCUGGUCAAGAUUGACGCUCGAGGCACGAAAGCGUGGGAGCAAACAGG